rnacentral:rRNA from 1 species
AGUGACACUGAACAUUGAGCCUUGAUGUGUAGGAUAGGUGGGAGGCUUUGAAGCGUGGACGCCAGUCUGCGUGGAGCCAACCUUGAAAUACCACCCUUUAAUGUUUGAUGUUCUAACGUUGGCCCCUUACCGGGGUUGCGGACAGUGUCUGGUGGGUAGUUUGACUGGGGCGGUCUCCUCCCAAAGCGUAACGGAGGAGCACGAAG